AAAAUAUUAAUUCUCAUUUUACUUUAUUAUUUUUGUAAAAUUCGAGGUCAUACUUUGAUGAUGAUAUUUCUGUAAAAUUCGAGCCUGUAAAUGAGCCUAGAGCCAUGCCAACACUAUACAGAAACAACAUCCAGUCACAGAACCCAUGUACUGGUACAAAGCUCCUUCAUGUUCACAAUGGGAUUGAAGAUUGAAACGUGGUGGGAAACAUCCACACGUCCACUACCCAUCCCGCCACUGUGAUCUCACUGCCCAUCGUUGGUUCCAUCCAUUGCCACCCAAUACUUCUUGACCACAGUCGUGAAGGCUUAAAGCUGUCCUGAUAUAUAUUCAAAAAGUUCCAUGUCCUUGGAUGGGACGCCUGCUCGUUUUUUCCCCACCCAUCA
rnacentral:lncRNA from 1 species